GCGAGGGGCCCUGGGGCCCGCACGGUGCCCAGCGCCAAUGGCACUCAAGACCUGCUCAUUGCAAGGCCACACCAAGGGGUCUACAUCUAUCCAUCGUCUUGAUUGGACAAUGUCAGCAAAUUCUCCAGGCUUGAUUAUUCCUCCUGGACCAAUACUUAAUACUACGGGGCUGCUCUCCCAUCAGUGAGGACUGAACUAGAUCACUUCUCAGACUCUUACUAAAUUCGAAUCUCCAGGGGUGAGGUACAGGACUGUAUUUUAUAGAAACUCCACCAAUGAUGAACCCCCCAUAAAGCUAAGGAAGCUUUAUGCCUCUGGUAUUCUGUGGUUCCAAAAUUAGAGUACUGUUGAGCUCAUUCAGCAACUGAUGAAGAUCACGAGCAGUCCUGUCCCAGCCGCAUCUCUCCCUGUGCCCACCAGAACAAAGCUCAUGCCCCCUCUGCUGGAAUAGGAUGCCUCUACCCCUCUGAGUCAUCACUUACGCCUCCCAUCCGGGUACCGUCAUUCCUUGGAGGCUUGUGAUCUGGUGAAGCUUCCUUUCCACGCAGCCCCGAGCCUCACACUUCCUUCCCUCCCGCCAUCUCCACCUCCUCCCCAUUCCGCCUGCCCUCCAGCCCCAGUCCAGGGCCUCCAUGAACCUUUACACCUGGCCUCCUCUCCCCUUCCUCCGUUUGCCCUGCUCUUCAGCCUGACAGCCCCCUGGCUCUCCAGCCUCUCCUGGUCCCUCAUCUUCCCUCCACGGGUAUCAGUGGCCUCACGGCUCUGUUCUUCAGCUGCUCUUAUCUGGAAAAGCCUGCCGUCAGGGCCCUGGCCUUCACCCCCUGCACUGCUGUUGAAGAGGACCACAACCCCGACUCCGCUCAGCUGGCCUCCUGGUCUCCUCCCUCAGGGGGGCCCUUGCGGUCCACCGUCAGUUCUGGACUUCGUCCUUGGCCAACUCCUUCACCUGUUUCUCUCCAGAGUACGUGGCACAGCCUCACCGUGAUUCUUAAGACUCCUUCUUGCUUCCCUUUCUCCUCCCUCUCAGCAGAAGAUGAGGCCUCUUAUUUCACUGAGGGAAAGUCAGACUCUCAGUCUUGAACACCCCUGACCUCCCACCCCACGACCUAUAGAAGCAAGAUACUAAAAUGGAAGUUGUGGCAGAGAUACUACCAUCUGAUAGAUGCUGGAUACCAAGGUGGUUGGGAGAUAGCCCACCCACGGGACCCUCCCCAUUCCCAAAGGUCUGCUGAAUGACUCUAAGCCCUCUGGCAUGGAUGGAAAAAGAUUUAAAAGGAGGGUUUAGAAAGGAUAUUUUUUGCAGAGAACUGUGUUGGGGGAACACCCCCACAAGAGGAAGAACGUAUAAAGCUUCAACUCUGACCAAAAGAGGGCUUCAAGGAGGCCACAUGACUGUGGCUACAGUGGGCUGCUGUCUAACUGCACCCCCGGGAUUUAAGGUGGAAGGCAUCAGGGCAGAGGGAGGAUGGUGCCCUGAGAACGAAUUACCCCAGGCUCGCCAGUGCAGCCAGCAUGCACUGCUGUGCCCUGAGAAGGAGAGGUGGGCACCCCGAAGAGCUCGCCAGCCUGGAGCUGUUAUAAACCCCGUCAGGAGCGCAUCCGCAGGAGAAGCGGAACUGUAGGAUGGAGGAUGGCUCUUAAACUCCUAAAUUAGGAACUGAGGAGAGAGAGGAAGAAUAUGCAAGACCUUUGUCAUGGGAGGUACAUUUAAAUGUUCCACUGGAGGCUUCUUAGGACCCAAAGGAAUCACUCACCAAGAGACAGCUUGACAUAUCUGCUGGACCGCACAAA